UAGUUCGUGGAGUGAUUUGUCUGCUUAAUUGCGUUAACGAACGAGACCUUAACCUGCUAAAUAGGAGCGCAUACCCUCGGGUAAGCGCCUUUCUUCUUAGAGGGACUGUAUGCGUUUCAGCAUGCGGAAGUUUGAGGCUAAAACAGGU
rnacentral:rRNA from 1 species